GCCCGGCUACCUCAGUCGGUAGAGCAUGAGACUCUUAAUGUCAGGGUCGUGGGUUCGAGCCCCACGUUGAGCG
rfam:Danio rerio chromosome 4, GRCz11 reference primary assembly.